rnacentral:tRNA from 1 species
GCGUCGGUGGCUCAGUCGGUUGAGCAUCUGACUUUGGCUCAGGUCAUGAUCUUGCAGUCUGGUCUGUGGGUUCGAGCCCCACAAGGGGCU